CGUGCCUAAUACAUGCAAAUCGAACGCAGCUUUUUUAACUGGUGCUCGCACCGAAUUAAACCCCUGAGUGGCGAACGGGCGAGUAACACGUGGGUAACCUGACCCAAAGUGGGGGAUAACAUGUGGAAACAGAUGCUAAUACCGCAUAACCACAGAAACCACAUGGUUACUGUGUCAAAGCUGGUUUCGGCUAUCACUUUGGGAUGGACCGGCGGCGCAUUAGCUAGUUGGAGAGGUAACGGCUCACCAAGGAAACGAUGCGUAGCCGAGCUGAGAGGGUGAUCGGCCACAUUGGAACUGAGACACGGACCAAACUCCGACGGGAGGCAGCAGUGGGGAAUAUUGCACAAUGGGCGAAAGCCUGAUGCAGCAACGCCGCGUGAGUGAUGAAGGUCUUCGGAUUGUAAAGCUCUGUCGUUUGGGACGAUAAUGACGGUACCAAAGGAGGAAGCCACGGCUAACUACGUGCCAGCCGCCGCCGUAA
rnacentral:rRNA from 1 species